CCCCUUUUCUUUUGGCGAAGGAUGCCUAUAUCGGGCUUUGUCGGAUUCGUCCGGCUAUGGUGAUAAACUGCGGCGUGCAAUAGGCACAGCGGACCCGGGGGCGGUACCCGGCGGCUCCACCAUCACCACCGACGGUUUUCGUGUCUGCAAGGGCGGGAAAACGGAUCGGGCCCUGUUGUCGCAGGGGUGUUGACGGGGCCGAACUAGGAUCGACGUGUGUUGAAAAGCGUUGUUUUCACCCGGGCUGAGUAACCCGUUCAAGGCUCAAAACUCAUAAGUGCCAACGACAACGUCGCACUUGCUCAGGUUGCGUAAUUCUAGGACCUAACGGUCUGAAGUUACAAAAUUUGAACACGGCUGAGCCCGCCGGGUAACAGAAGGGAUUUCGGGGGCCCGGGGCGGGCCUAGCAACAGAACCGCCCCACC
rnacentral:tmRNA from 1 species